rnacentral:rRNA from 1 species
AGAGUUUGAUCCUGGCUCAGAAUGAACGUUGGCGGCGUGGAUUAGGCAUGCAAGUCGAACGGGUUCGCCGCAAGGCGGAUCAGUGGCGUAAGGGUGAGUAAGGCGACGGCAACCAACCCCAUGGUUGGGCAUAGCCGCGGGAAACUGCGGGUAAUUCCCAGCGAUGUUCGCAUCGGGCAUCCGAAGCGAACCAAAGCUCU